rnacentral:rRNA from 1 species
CAGCCGCGGUAAUUCCAGCUCCAAUUAAAGUACGUAUAUUAAAGUUCGUUGCCAGUUAAAAAGCUCGUAGUUGAAUUUCGGGGUUAGUAGGUUGGUCAUGCCUCUGGUAUGUACUGGUCUCACUGAUUCCUCCUUCCUGAUGAACCGUAAUGCCAUUAAUUUGGUGUUGCGGGGAAUUUGGACUGUUACUUUGAAAAAAUUAGAGUGUUUAAAGCAGGCUAACGCUUGAAUACAUUAGCAUGGAAUAAUGAAAUAGGACGUUCGAUCCUAUUUUGUUGGUUUCUAGGAUUGACGUAAUGAUUAAUAGGGAUAGUUGGGGGCAUUAGUAUUCAAUUGUCAGAGGCGAAAUUCUUGGAUUUAUUGAAGACUAACUACUGCGAAAGCAUUUUGCCAAGGAUGUUUUCAUUAAUCAAGAACGAAAGUUAGGGAUCGAAGACGAUCAGAUACCGUCGUAGUCUUAACCUUAACCAUAAACUAUGCCGACUAGGGGAUCGGAUGAUGUUAAUUUUUAUAAUGACUCAUUCGGCACCUUACGGGAAAC